rnacentral:rRNA from 1 species
GACGAACGCUGGCGGCGUGCUUAACACAUGCAAGUCGAACGGAAAGGCCCCUUUGGGGGUCCUCGAGUGGCGAACGGGUGAGUAACACGUGAGUAACCUGCCCUUGACUUCGGGAUAACUUCAGGAAACUGGGGCUAAUACCGGAUAGGAAUCCUUGCUGCAUGGUGGGGGUUGGAAAGCUUCGGCGGUUUUGGAUGGACUCGCGGCUUAUCAGCUUGUUGGUGGGGUAGUGGCUUACCAAGGGUUUGACGGGUAGCCGGCCUGAGAGGGCGACCGGCCACAUUGGGACUGAGAUACGGCCCAGACUCCUACGGGAGGCAGCAGUGGGGAAUAUUGCACAAUGGGCGGAAGCCUGAUGCAGCAACGCCGCGUGCGGGAUGACGGCCUUCGGGUUGUAAACCGCUUUCAGCAGGGGCGAAGCUUGUGGUGACGGUACCUGCAGAAGAAGCACCGGCUAACUACGUG